rnacentral:rRNA from 1 species
CCUACGGGCGGCUGCAGUGGGGAAUAUUGGACAAUGGGCGAAAGCCUGAUCCAGCCAUGCCGCGUGUGUGAAGAAGGCCUUCGGGUUGUAAAGCACUUUCAGUGGGGAAGAAAGCCUUGGGGCUAAUACCCUCGAGGAAGGACAUCACCCACAGAAGAAGCACCGGCUAACUCCGUGCCAGCAGCCGCGGUAAUACGGAGGGUGCGAGCGUUAAUCGGAAUUACAGGGCGUAAAGCGCGCGUAGGCGGUCUGAUAAGCCGGUUGUGAAAGCCCCGGGCUCAACCUGGGAACGGCAUCCGGAACUGUCAGGCUAGAGUGCAGGAGAGGAAGGUAGAAUUCCCGGUGUAGCGGUGAAAUGCGUAGAGAUCGGGAGGAAUACCAGUGGCGAAGGCGGCCUUCUGGACUGACACUGACGCUGAGGUGCGAAAGCGUGGGUAGCAAACAGGAUUAGAUACCCGUGUAGUC